GCUCACGGCCAUACUACUCUAGAACCACCCGAUCUCGUCUGAUCUCAGGAGCUAAGCAGAGUCGGGCCUGGUUAGUACUUGGAUGGGUCCGCCUGGCAAUACCAGGUGCUGUAUUGC
ensembl:rRNA 5S_rRNA 5S ribosomal RNA